UACAGAGGUCUCAAGCGUUGUUCGGAUUCAUUGGGCGUAAAGGGUGCGUAGGUGGCUGCGUAAGUCGGGUGUGAAAUCCCGGGGCUCAACCCCGGAACUGCACUCGAUACUGCGUGGCUUGAGUACUGGAGAGGAGAUUGGAAUUUACGGUGUAGCAGUGAAAUGCGUAGAUAUCGUAAGGAAGACCAGUGGCGAAGGCGGAUCUCUGGACAGUUACUGACACUGAGGCACGGAAGGCCAAGGGGAGCAAACAGG
rnacentral:rRNA from 1 species